CUCAUAUAUUGAUUCAGAAUCAGAUGCCUCAACUUCUGACUCUGUCAUCUCAUCUUCUUCAUGAUUACCACGCUGAUCAAUGUACUCGCCAAUUCCAGCCCAGAAGUCAUCUCCACCUUCAUGCACAGCCCUAACAGUUGAAGGUUGAAUUCACAGAAGGGUUGUUUUCUGCCGUUGGAGCAACAUAUAUUGUCAUCGCCAUUUUCUCGUUUUUAGCUGAGGGAACAACUCACACAACACAUACAUAUAUAUAGCAGAGAGUAAGUGGGUUAGAGGAGUUUGCAACUAAACCAACAUGCCAACCGCACCAUUUCUGCAAAGAAAGGUUAGGCAAACGUAUUGUCUGUUAUUGAUAAUAAUAUAUAUAUUAUUAUGAAGAUAUCUGUCUUAUCUAAGCACUCGUGUGAGAAGAAUUCUGUGACUAAACAUUUUUGGGCAAAUUGUUUUUGUUGAAAAAGCCUGGUGUCAUAGCCAAUUGAAGAAUUGGUCAACAAACUUGAUAUGCCUUACCAAACUAGUUGAAACUUUUUGGUAAAAUUUAGGCUGGGUAGUGGGUUCAAUGUUCACUGGUAGUUUAUUAGUGCUCUACGAACUAAUACAACAGGAAAAAUCCUUGGAAGCCCUCUUUUCAAGCUUUGGUCAA